rnacentral:rRNA from 1 species
GACGAAGGAUCCAAGCGUUAUCCGGAUUCAUUGGGUUUAAAGGGAGCGUAGGCGGGUUUAUAAGUCAGUGGUGAAAGCCGAUCGCUUAACGAUCGAACUGCCAUUGAUACUGUAGACCUAGAGUACAGAUGAUGUUGGCGGAAUAUGACAUGUAGCGAUGAAAUGCAUAGAUAUGUCAUAGAACACCGAUUGCGAAGGCAGCUGACAAAACUGUAACUGACGCUGAGGCUCGAAAGUGCGGGGAUCAAACAGG